rnacentral:lncRNA from 1 species
AGACUCCUAGUGGACCUCAGACCAUCCCACAAGAGGAUUAAGCCCUCCAUACCUCCCUCUACUGAUCCAUCUCAAGUGGCUCAUACGUACAUCACAUAGUGUACACACUGACUGGCUGGUUGGCUGGCAAGCGGUACCGGACAAAAAGGACAAAAAGGCUUCUCAACAGUUUUUACCCCAGUUUUUAAGCCAUAAGACUCCUGAACAGAUGAGUGGAGGCGUGCUGCUGACCCACUCAACAUGUGUGACUGACUGACGCUGUGGAGGGAGCACCACCACUUUCAGCUCCUGGGGCUGCAGUACAACAGCCAUGACUCUCGAUGGAACACACUGCUGGAAUGGAUAACGAGGAAAUUACAAUCCUAUUAUAAAAUGUUUCUAUCUACUUUUUCUAAUGUUGAAAGUUGAGAUGAGAAUGGAGGGAUAGCCUAAAAUAAAAAUCAUGGUUUAUCCUCACAACUGCUGUAGCUUUAUGAAUGUGGUAGGAGGUAUAGCAGAAGUACGCAGGGAAUACUAACCAUAUUCACAUAAAUAAUGCCACAGUGAAUUUAAAAUUCAAAUAUGAAGAAGACAAUAAAAACGCAAGAAGGAAAGAAAUUAAGAAGAAGGUUAGACAGACAGAGUUGAAUGGCAGAGGCAGACAAAGGGAGCGUUCACAUGGUAACUACUCCAGAGAGAGGUGGUCAGCUUUGGGCAUGACUGAGUGUUCUGUCACCUCAUCACUCAGACCCUGACUGGAAG